rnacentral:tRNA from 1 species
GGUUAUAGCUCAGUGGCAGAGCACUUGCCUCGCACUUAUGAGGUACUGGGUUCAAUCCUCAGCACCA